UCUCAGUAAGUAACUGUAGGCAAGUCCUACCGUUUUUCCUCUCUCAGAGAUUGGAGUGGAAAACCUUCCCUAAACAAAUCUUGACAAGAAAGGAUAAGAGAGGAUCACCAUAAGUAGAGAUGCUCCUCCUUUCUUUAUCCUCCUCUUUCUUUUGCCUGGAUACCUUUACUAGCUGGAGAGAGAGAGAAAGCAAGCAGGAGUCAAACAACAGAAAAGCCUUUCCUAUUCAUGCCUGUAUUGCAGAUGUAAUUCAUGGAAGCUCCAUUGGAAGCUGGUUGCUAGAUCAAGAUCAGAAAGAAGAGAGCUUAUACUUGAGAGAUGGCUGCUGCUUUUGCUUCUUGUCACCCAGGCUUAAUUAUUUUCUUUUUCAUUUGAGGUUGAAUUUUUGAUCGCCUCUUUCUGGACUUGUGUUUUUAUUAUUCCUUCUGAUGACUCUUUACUUUUAAGGUGGCAUCUUCAUGGGAAAGAAAGUCGAGGGAGUAAGGAAAAGGGGUGCAGCUGGGAGAGAAUUCAUCACCUGAUAAUGGAGAGAACAUAAGAAGUAAUCUUUUCAUUACUCUCGUUGCCCAAAAAGAAACGACACCAGUUUUUGAAAUGGGACGACAGCAGGAAGAAAUGCAUAAAACAGGAUUAACAGGAUUUUGCUGUCUGAAAAAUAAGAGUUAACAAGGAUGGCAGACUGCAUUUAAAUAAUGGAUGCUGGUGGCUUCUUUGUCAUUCACCGUGAGUGCAUUUCCUUAAGCUAAUGUGCUUCCCCAUCAUUCAGAAGGUGAGUUGGAAAUGAACAUUAAAUAUGAACAUUAAAAGAGC